GACGAACGCUGGCGGCGUGCUUAACACAUGCAAGUCGAACGGUGAUGCUCCAGCUUGCUGGAGUGGAUCAGUGGCGAACGGGUGAGUAACACGUGAGCAACCUGCCCCAGACUCUGGAAUAAGCGCUGGAAACGGCGUCUAAUACUGGAUACGAAACUGGCCCGCAUGGGCAUGGGUUGGAAAGUUUUUCGGUUUGGGAUGGGCUCGCGGCCUAUCAGCUUGUUGGUGAGGUAAUGGCUCACCAAGGCGACGACGGGUAGCCGGCCUGAGAGGGCGACCGGCCACACUGGGACUGAGACACGGCCCAGACUCCUACGGGAGGCAGCAGUGGGGAAUAUUGCACAAUGGGCGAAAGCCUGAUGCAGCGACGCCGCGUGAGGGAUGACGGCCUUCGGGUUGUAAACCUCUUUCAGCAGGGAAGAAGCGAAAGUGACGGUACCUGCAGAAGAAGCACCGGCUAACUACGUG
rnacentral:rRNA from 1 species